CUCCGGGACCUGCACACGCUGGACUCUCACGUCCGCGGCAUCAAGAAGCUCCUGGAAGAACAGGGCAUCUUCCUCCGCGCCGGCGUCGUCACGGCAACCUCCGGCUCCGCCCCCCUGCAGUACGACACGCUCAUUAGUCUGAUGGAGCACCUGAAGGCCUGUGCUGAGAUAGCCACCCAGAGGACCAUCAACUGGCAGAAGUUCUGUAUGAAGGAUGACUCCAUACUGUACUUCCUACUACAGGUCAGCUUCCUGGUAGAUGAGGGAGUGUCUCCAGUGCUCCUCCAGCUGCUAUCCUGUGCUCUGUGUGGCAGCA